rnacentral:misc_RNA from 1 species
UCGUACAACAUGUGUGAGGCGCGCGAGGGCUGUCGCUGACUUUUUGAAACACAAAAGUCGUGCACGCCGGAGCGUGUCCUCUCACAAUAAAAUCCAUCUCACCCUUUUGUGCACCACCGCGUGGGCACCUUUUGGGAUCGAACCGAUCCUGGAGGGGGCUUGCGUUUUCACACAAACCCCUUUUAAAAAGUGUAGAAUGACCCCAUUUUGCGAUGACACGCAAUCAAUA